rnacentral:rRNA from 1 species
GCAUCGAUGAAGAACGUAGCGAAAUGCGAUACGUAGUGUGAAUUGCAGAAUUCCGCGAAUCAUCGAGUCUUUGAACGCAAGUUGCGCCCGAGGCUUGUCCAAGGGCAUUUCCGCUAGAGCGUCACC